rnacentral:tRNA from 1 species
GGUUGUAGCUCAGUGGCAGAGCGCUUGCCUAGCAUGUGCAAGGUACUAGGUUUGAUCCUUAGCAAUACA